rnacentral:lncRNA from 1 species
UACAUGCUGACUUGAAAAAAAUCAAAAUUUUCGAUUGCCCUAAUUUUGAUUGGCUUAAAUAAAACUAAAUGUCUUUGUAUUACCUAAUGGAAUAGAGCAAUAAACUUGACAAACAACGUACAUGUGCUUUGUAUGUGGCCAACAGAGAAAUACUUCUUUAAUUUAUAACUUAAAUUGCGUUGCAGAAAUAUUGCCUCAAAUUCAUGAAAUAUUUUUCUGUCCUGCAUAGAUCUGGGAGAAAUCUUAAACACAUUUCGAAACCUCAAACUAAAAUUUGUAGAGAGCUGACCUUGCCAUUAAAAAUUGUAUUUAUUUACCUACUGCUGCCAAUUAUUGGCAUAUAUACUCAUGUGGCGGUAAAGUUUUGAGUGAUGAAUAAGGCAAUAUACAUGUAAAAUAACAAACGCAAAACAAUGAAGUGACGUCCAGGAUACAUAUUUCAGCGGUAUCAGAAAGACACACAUUGGCGCAAGUGCAUAUAUAGUACAUAAAUAAAUAAAAUAAAUAUUUCGCUAAGCAAAAUUCAAAAUUAACAGCUCAUCCAAGUCAAUUCCAAUGGAGCACGUGCUGUGCAUAAAAUUGAAAAAUGCAAAUUUCCAUUUAACAGCAAUCGCUUGUAGAGGCAAGCUUUUGGGUCUGAAAGAACGGAAGCUAUGCCUGUGUUGCAGUUGCAGUGGCCGUAAAAGCUCGCCGAAGCCCGAGUACACUGUAAACAAAUUUUAGUGCCGAAACUUCUAGAUAAACAAAAGCCUCUUACGCUUUAAUGUCACCGCCUAAAGGUAGUUUGCAUAAUACCAGCGCUUUCACUAAUUACUGAAGUAUUUUUAUAAUAAUGAAAAAUUAAACUUUAUGAAUUUCUAGAUACAUAUAUUUCUGUGCUGAAUUUGACCUGUGACUGCCGAGCCGUAUCACCACUUCUAGUACAUUAAAACUAAUUAGUUGAUUUUAUCGCAAUUCCAAGUAUGAAUACGUACGUAUAUAUAUUUUUCAAAGCAUUUAUCGCACUUUGGAUCCCUCGGUCUGGCAUUAUUUUUUGAGUUAUCUACGAAUUACAUAAAGCCCUCAAUUGGCAACAAAUGGGAAAAAUAAAAAUUGCGUCACCAAAGACAUUCCAAUUAGUUAAUUAAAAUUGAAAUAAUCAAUAGCAU